CUACGGGAAGGCAGCAGUGGGGAAUUUUCCGCAAUGGGCGAAAGCCUGACGGAGCAAUACCGCGUGAGGGAAGACAGCCUACUGGGUUGUAAACCUCUUUUUUCAGGGAGGAAAAAAAUGACGUGUACCUGAAGAAUAAGCAUCGGCUAACUCCGUGCCAGCAGCCGCGGUAAGACGGAGGAUGCAAGUGUUAUCCGGAAUUACUGGGCGUAAAGCGUCUGUAGGUGGUUUAAUAAGUCAACUGUUAAAUCUUGAGGCUUAACUUCAAAACAGCAGUCGAAACUAUUAGACUAGAGUAUAGUAGGGGUAAAGGGAAUUUCCAGUGGAGCGGUGAAAUGCGUAGAUAUUGGAAAGAACACCGAUGGCGAAAGCACUUUACUGGGCUAUUACUAACACUCAGAGACGAAAGCUAGGGUAGCAAAUGGGAUUAGAUACCCCAGUAGUCCUAGCUGUAAACAAUGGAUACUAGAUGUUGAACAGAUCGACCUGUGCAGUAUUAAAGCUAACGCGUUAAGUAUCCCGCCUGGGAAGUAUGCUCGCAAGAGUGAAACUCAAA
rnacentral:rRNA from 1 species